rnacentral:rRNA from 1 species
AGCUCCAAUAGCGUAUAUUAAAGUUGUUGCAGUUAAAAAGCUCGUAGUUGGAUCUCGGUCGUGGACGAGCGGUCCGCCUCACGGCGGUGACUGCUCGCUUCCGGACUGUUGCCUUCGGCUCGUCCCGGGGUUCUGCUCUUAACUGAGUGGCCCGGGGGGCCGGAACGUUUACUUUGAAAAAAUUAGAGUGUUCAAAGCAGGCGCUACCGCCUGAAUAAUGGUGCAUGGAAUAAUGGAAUAGGACCUCGGUUCUAUUUUGUUGGUUUUCUGAAAACGAGGUAAUGAUUAAGAGGGACAGACGGGGGCAUUCGUAUUGCGGCGUUAGAGGUGAAAUUCUUGGAUCGCCGCAAGACGAACUACUGCGAAAGCAUUUGCCAAGAAUGUUUUCA